rnacentral:rRNA from 1 species
CGGAGGGUGCAAGCGUUAUCCGGAUUCACUGGGUUUAAAGGGUGCGUAGGAGGGCAGGUAAGUCAGUGGUGAAAUCUCCAAGCUUAACUUGGAAACUGCCGUUGAUACUAUCUGUCUUGAAUACCGUGGAGGUGAGCGGAAUAUGUCAUGUAGCGGUGAAAUGCUUAGAUAUGACAUAGAACACCAAUUGCGAAGGCAGCUCGCUACACGAAUAUUGACUCUGAGGCACGAAAGCGUGGGGAUCAAACAGGAUUAGAUACCCUGGUAGUCCACGCCCUAAACGAUGGAUACUCGACAUACGCGAUACACAGUGUGUGUCUGAGCGAAAGCAUUAAGUAUCCCACCUGGGAAGUACGACCGCAAGGUUG